CCUACGGGUGGCAGCAGUGAGGAAUAUUGGUCAAUGGUCGGGAGACUGAACCAGCCAAGCCGCGUGAGGGAUGAAGGUACAGAGUAUCGUAAACCUCUUUUGUCAGGGAACAAAGGCGGGGACGCGUCCCCGGAUGAGUGUACCUGAAGAAAAAGCAUCGGCCAACUCCGUGCCAGCAGCCGCGGUAAUACGGAGGAUGCGAGCGUUAUCAGGAGUUAUGGGGUUAAAGGGGGGCGCAGGCGGUUUGUGAAGUCAGCGGUCAAAGCCCGGGGCUCAACCCCGGCCCGCCGUUGAAACUGGCAGUCUCGAGUUGGAGAGAAGUAUGCGGAAUGCGCGGUGUAGCGGU
rnacentral:rRNA from 1 species